rnacentral:rRNA from 1 species
GAUGAACGCUAGCGGCAGGCUUAAUACAUGCAAGUCGUGGGGCAGCAUGAAUGUAGCAAUACAUUUGAUGGCGACCGGCAAACGGGUGCGGAACACGUACACAACCUUCCUUUAAGUGGGGAAUAGCCCAGAGAAAUUUGGAUUAAUACCCCGUAACAUAACGAUGUGGCAUCACAUUGUUAUUAUAGCUUCGGCGCUUAUUGAUGGGUGUGCGGCUGAUUAGAUAGUUGGCGGGGUAACGGCCCACCAAGUCUACGAUCAGUAGCUGAUGUGAGAGCAUGAUCAGCCACACGGGCACUGAGACACGGGCCCGACUCCUACGGGAGGCAGCAGUAAGGAAUUUUGGACAAUGGGGGCAACCCUGAUCCAGCAAUGCCGCGUGAGUGAAGAAGGCCUUCGGGUUGUAAAGCUCUUUUGUCAGGGAAGAAACGGUUUUGGCUAAUAUCCAGAGCUAAUGACGGUACCUGAAGAAUAAGCACCGGCUAACUACGUGCCAGCCGCCGCCGUAAAAC